UGCUGCAUGGUUGUCGUCAGCUCGUGCCGUGAGGUGUCGGUUAAGUCCAUAACGAGCGCAACCCCUAUCGUUAGUUGCCAGCAAGUAAAGUUGGGGACUCUAGCGAGACUGCCGGUGUAAACCGUGAGGAAGGUGGGGAUGACGUCAAAUCAGCACGGCCCUUAUAUCCAGGGCUACACACGUGUUACAAUGGUCGGUACAAAGAGCAGCCACUUGGUGACAAGGCGCUAAUCUCAAAAGCCGAUCUCAGUUCGGAUCGAAGUCUGCAACUCGACUUCGUGAAGUUGGAUUCGCUAGUAAUCGCGCAUCAGCCAUGGCGCGGUGAAUACGUUCCCGGGCCUU
rnacentral:rRNA from 1 species